UACGUAGGGUCCAAGCGUUAAUCGGAAUUACUGGGCGUAAAGCGUGCGCAGGCGGUUCGUUAAGUCAGCUGUGAAAGCCCUGGGCUCAACCUGGGAAUUGCAGUGGAUACUGGGCGACUAGAGUGUGGUAGAGGAUAGUGGAAUUUCCGGUGUAGCAGUGAAAUGCGUAGAGAUCGGAAGGAACAUCUGUGGCGAAGGCGACUAUCUGGGCCAACACUGACACUGAGGCACGAAAGCGUGGGGAGCAAACAGG
rnacentral:rRNA from 1 species